GCGGGGGUAGCCAAGUCUGGCCAAUAACCUUUUUGGUCAAGCUUUUUGCUUGUAAAAAGGUUGGGCUAAAGGCGCAGGACUUAAGAUCCUGUUCCGAAGGGAUUCGUGAGUUCAAAUCUCACCCCCCGCA
rnacentral:tRNA from 1 species